rnacentral:rRNA from 1 species
GCAUAUCAAUAAGCGGAGGAAAAGAAACCAACCGGGAUUGCCUUAGUAACGGCGAGUGAAGCGGCAAAAGCUCAAAUUUGAAAUCUGGUACCUUCGGUGCCCGAGUUGUAAUUUGGAGAGGGCAACUUUGGGGCCGUUCCUUGUCUAUGUUCCUUGGAACAGGACGUCAUAGAGGGUGAGAAUCCCGUGUGGCGAGGAGUGCGGUUCUUUGUAAAGUGCCUUCGAAGAGUCGAGUUGUUUGGGAAUGCAGCUCCAAGUGGGUGGUAAAUUCCAUCUAAAGCUAAAUAUUGGCGAGAGACCGAUAGCGAACAAGUACAGUGAUGGAAAGAUGAAAAGAACUUUGAAAAGAGAGUGAAAAAGUACGUGAAAUUGUUGAAAGGGAAGGGCAUUUGAUCAGACAUGGUGUUUUGUGCCCUCUGCUCCUUGUGGGUAGGGGAAUCUCGCAUUUCACUGGGCCAGCAUCAGUUUUGGUGGCAGGAUAAAUCCAUAGGAAUGUAGCUUGCCUCGGUAAGUAUUAUAGCCUGUGGGAAUACUGCCAGCUGGGACUGAGGACUGCGACGUAAGUCAAGGAUGCUGGCAUAAUGGUUAUAUGCCGCCCGUCUUGAAACACGGACC